AUGAAUCCAGAAGCUGUGUGGACUCAGAUAAAUGACACCAUUGACCACAUUGCAGAGAUCAAAUUAAAUAAUCCUGUAAACUUCUGGAAUAGCAGAAACAAUAGAAUUAAGGUAUCCGGUGCUCCUGCCACUGGAAACUUCUCCAUCCUGCUUAGCGAUGUGCAGCUGUCUGAUCUGGGUCUCUACCGCUGUGAACUCUACAGAGAUAUCAACUGUUCUCUGGGCUAUAAAGAGAUAGAAAUCAGUCUGGCUGCUGUUGAAUUUUCACUGCUCAAUAACUGGCAGCUCAUAGUUGCAGGAGGAGGAGGAGGAUUUCUGCUUCUCUGUCUGAUCACUGUGUGUGUUUACUAUACAUGGACAAAACGACAAACAGUCGAUGGAUCAGUCAACCACACAUCACACAAUAGCCCUGACAGUGAAGGACAAAAAAAUGAUGAAAUAACCUAUGCGUCAGUUGUUCUUAAGGCACCCAAUUGCCAUGACAGUGAAGGACAAAAAAAUGAUGAAAUAACCUAUGCAUCAGUUGAUUUUAAAUCACACAACUGCCAUGACAGUGAAGUUCUUCUGAAUAACAACCCUAUAAAUAGCUCUGCAUCAGAAGACAUUGUCUGCCCAGAGACGGUCAUUUACUCUACCAUCAAGCAAGGAGAGAGAAGAUGAGCAAGUGAGCAGCGAAACAUCCAAAUUAAAACACUCAAGAAAAAGAAAAUAUUUUAUGGAACUCCCAUCUUGUAUUGUUUGCUUUGAUUUGACAAGAAAUUAUAUGUUUGAUAAUGUUACAAGAAGUAACAUCAUUUUCUAAAGCACUAUGGAAACCAAAGUAAACUAAUUCAUACCCUUUUCUCUUGAAAAAAAAAAGUAUUAAUAACUACCCUAAAAUUGUGGAAAGAGUCUAAUGUUUGUCCCUCAUGUAUAUCGGCUUUGUCUUUAUCUUUGUUUUUUUGUUGUUGUUUUUUUGAACAAGGCGGUGUGUUGUUACUGUGGGUGAAGGGUGUGAAAUUGAACUCAGCUACUUUAUCACCUAAACCACUGAAAUCUUUGCAGGCAAUGUGACAGGGCCACACAUGCAACAAUAAGACAGGAUAAACAGUAUAUCUUACAGUAUAAAGAUACUUCAGGCCAAGAUGCUUACAGGAAACUAGAGUGGAAAUUCCCAUAUCCAUGAGCUUCUUCACAAAUAAGCUACAGAUUCUGUUUUGUCACAUAGUGUGAAAAUGUUUUGUGUGAAAAUACACGAAAUUAAGCUCAAUGACGUGUACGUUACAAUUAUUUAAAUUUUUUAAGUAGGCCUACAUUAGAUUUACAGUAGACCUGAUUUGAAAGAACAAUUGCUCAAUCAUUCAAUUCAGAGGCGUUAUGCCCAUUCCACUCGAGCCAAGUGGAUUUUGAAUUCAGCUUACAAAACACAACAACAACAAACUGCAGAUUAAUAUAUUUUUUUAAAUAUUUGAUACGAUAUGUUUGAUUAGAACGUUCAGUGCGUCACGUCACCAGCUGCUAAAUUCAAAUCUGUGUUCGCUGGCUGCCGCUGAGACAGACGCUCUGCGCAUUAUAACCAAUCACACACGAGUCUGAGCUUAUACGCAAUAGCCAAUCAGAAGCAUUCAGAUGAGUCAUCGCUGAAACUCCUGUUUUGUUCAGUGUGUGCGCUCACUUACUGAAUUCUCUUAUUAGAAGCAACAAAGUGUAGAUGUGCAAACGAUGUAAGUAACAUAUGCAAUUCCAAAUGUAAACAGCUUCAGUGAUUAUGAUGGGAGUUUUUGAGAGUGCUUGUACUCUGGCUAGACUGAAGUUCUGAUAAUGAAAUCGUGAUCAUUUUCUUUGAUAAUGUAGCCUAAAUGUUCUUUGCUAUCUUUCUGUACAAUUAAAGUGUUCUAAUUAGUAACUUAAAAUGUUUUUAUUAAAUUCACUUUAAAUACAAUGUCGGUCGGAUUAAAAAUAUUUUAUGGCAUGACACCAUGUGGUAGUUGAGUAAAAAGACUGAUGUUAUGUGUAGUUAAUAUAUCCAGUGGCGUUUCGUCUAUAUAAGCUGUGAAUGCUCUGCAUACCCAGGACAUUUGAGAGAAUAAGUUCACGGGAUAAUUCAUAUAAACAUGAUUAUAUAAUGAAAAUGUACAGGACAAAUUAAAAUAUUUAUUUAAAAUAUAUAUAUAUUUUUUUAAGAAUUAAAAAUAAUCAGAUUUUGAGUAAUGAACACAUUGCAACCAAGCUUGGGAUGGCCCACAUAAAUGAGCAAAAAUGUUUUACAUUUCUUAAAAUAACACCUUUUGAACAUUAAACACUGACUUUCAGACUUUAUGAAGCUCCAUUCCCGCAUCCGUGUCCGCGCCCACCCUCGCCUCAUGUUUGCAGUCGACUGCAAAUGAUCAUAAUUGAUGGACAACUAUGCCCGGGGGAAAAAAAACAUAAGCAGCCUGGCGCAGAGAAAAGAAAAGUAAAAAAGCUCAAGAUGAAGCCCGUGCAUCACUUUCAGUUAGGCUACGUUAAUAAUCCUGUGAAACUUUUUUGGCUGUUGACGUUCAUAACGUUUAUUAACGUUAAUUAAUGUUUUAAUUAUCGUAUGAUAAGCUUAUUGAUGACUUAGCCUCCAAGUGUGCUUUUGUAAAUUUUGAAAUUCGGAAUGCUUCAGCAGAUGACGUAUAUCAGUGUUGAUUUUCGGAGUGUCUAUACACACUAAGUGCAAAUCGCCCACCUUGUUGGCAGAAGCUAUUUACACUAACUCCGCCCACCUACGUGUGAUUGGUAUAGUCAACACUACAAAAGACUAAUAGCAAACAAUAUUGACGCGAUCCACCCGAGGAUAUAAGGAAAUAACCUGUUUUUAUACAGUCUAUGGAAAUAACCGACAGGUUGAAAAUAAAGUAUCGGGUAGGGUAAGGGUAGGUGUAGGG
ensembl:lncRNA